rnacentral:rRNA from 1 species
ACUGAACGCUGGCGGCAUGCUUUACACAUGCAAGUCGAACGCCGUAGCAAUACGGAGUGGCAGACGGGUGAGUAACACGUGGGAACGUGCCUUUCGGUUCGGAACAACUGAGGGAAACUUCAGCUAAAACCGGAUACGCCCUUCGGGGGAAAGUUUACGCCGAAAGAUCGGCCCGCGUCAGAUUAGGUAGUUGGCGGGGUAAUGGCCCACCAAGCCGAUGAUCUGUAGCUGUUCUGAGAGGAAGAUCAGCCACACUGGGACUGAGACACGGCCCAGACUCCUACGGGAGGCAGCAGUGGGGAAUAUUGGACAAUGGGCGCAAGCCUGAUCCAGCUAUGCCGCGUGGAUGAAGAAGGCCUUCGGGUUGUAAAGUCCUUUCGGCGGGGAAGAUAAUGACGGUACCCGCAGAAGAAGCCCCGGCUAAUUUCGUGCCAGCAGCCGCCGUAA